rnacentral:rRNA from 1 species
UACGUAGGGGGCUAGCGUUGUCCGGAUUUAUUGGGCGUAAAGAGCUCGUAGGUGGUUCGGUAAGUCGGAUGUGAAAUCUCCAGGCUCAACCUGGAGGGGUCAUUCGAUACUGCCGUGACUAGAGUUCGGUAGAGGAGUGUGGAAUUCCUGGUGGAGCGGUGAAAUGCGCAGAGAUCAGGAGGAACACCAAUAGCGAAGGCAGCUCGCUGGGACGUUACUGACACUAAGGCGCGAAAGCGUGGGGAGCGAACAGG